UACGUAGGGGGCUAGCGUUGUCCGGAUUUAUUGGGCGUAAAGAGCGUGUAGGCGGCCAGGUAGGUCUGCUGUGAAAACUCGAGGCUCAACCUCGAGACGUCGGCGGAAACCAUCUGGCUAGAGUCCGGAAGAGGAGAGUGGAAUUCCUGGUGUUGCGGUGAAAUGCGCAGAUAUCAGGAAGAACACCCGUGGCGAAGGCGGCUCUCUGGGACGGUACUGACGCUGAGACGCGAAAGCGUGGGGAGCGAACAGG
rnacentral:rRNA from 1 species